rnacentral:snRNA from 1 species
AGCUUUGCGCGGUGGCAGUAUCGUAGCCAGUGAAGUUUAUCCGAAGCGCAAUUAUUGCUAAUUGAAAACUGAGUAGCUCAGUUCCCUAAAAGUAAAAAUUUGUUCUACCUCCAUGUUU